rnacentral:lncRNA from 1 species
UUUCGGCUCAACAAAUGGCCUUCUUCGGUGACAAAAGUUUUAACAAUAAUGAGAUAUAAUGUAUAAGGUGUAAACAUAGAUCACUAAUAAUACAGGUAAGUUUUGGUCGAUUGAUUUUAAUCCAAAAUCCUGAAUAUAAUAAUAUAAACACUAGACUGUAAAUUUAAUUAUUUCUUUCUAUUGAUUCCAUCUGGAUGGAGGACACCCAGUGUUUUUAUCCAAAACCUCUCCCGAUUUUCUCUUUGCCUAUUUUGCCAUGUACAAUCCUGUUCGAUCACAAGGAUCUUCAUGUGAUCAAAAUCUUUCAGAUUGUGAUCUGGUAACCUGAAAUGUUGGCUGACAGGAAUAUACGGUUUUUUUUGUGAGGUCACUCCUGUGGCCAUUGAGGCGUUUGUGAAAUGGCUGCAUAGAUUCACCAACAUAUUGGAGACCACAUCUAGGACACUCAAGAACGUAAAUCACGUUUGAGCUUUUGCAGUUGACAUUGCAAAAGAUCUUGUAUGUCUUUUCUGUGGUCUUACUGUGAAAUGUUGAUGAAUGCUGCAAUUGGUUGCAACAUUUGCAGCGCUUGUCCCCACAAGGCUGACAAUUACCUACAGUAUGGUUAGGUUUGGAAAGGUCAGCACGGACAAGUAUAUUUCUCAGGCUGUUAGGUUGUUUGAAGGCAAUCAUGGGAGGCUCAGGAAAGAUUUUGGAUAACUUCGAAUGUUUCUCGAUUGCUGUCCAAUGAUCACGAAUGGUCUUGAAACUAUUUCUCAGGCAUGGAUGGUAGGUGAGCACACAUGGGAUUCUUUUACUUUUCUGUUUAUCUUUGUAAGUUAGCAGACUGCUUCUGGGGAUGGAUUCCGCUUUUCGAAAACUAUUUUUGAUGUUUUUGUGUUUAUAUCCCCUUCUUUUUAAAUGUCCUUUAAGCUGCCCCAGACGUUGUUUUGCAGUGUCUUCAGAGGAGCAGAUUCGCCUUAUUCUGAGAGCUUGGCUGUAUGGAAUGCUCUUCGUGCAGUGUGGAGGAUGGCAACUUUCAGGCGACAAGUAUUGAUGAGUAUCUGUAGGUUUAGAGUAUAUAUCUGUGUUUAUUAUACCUACAGAGAGGGUGCUAGAUGUAUCAAGGAAGUUUAUGGUGGAAUUAGAUGUUUCAUGGGUGAAUUUGAUGGUAGGGUGUUGAUUGUUAGCAUUUGUUAUAAAAGUUUGUAAUUUUUGGUCUCCCUUGUCCCAUUUCAUGUCAACGUCAUCAAUAAAUCGAUACCAGGAAAGCGGUUUUUCGAUGGAGCACUCCAGCAGUUGCUUUUCAAAUUUACCCAUGAAUAUAUUGGCAUAAGAUGGAGCCAUUUUUGUACCCAUAGCAGUGCCAUUUGUCUGUAAAUAGUGUUCUCCUUGGAAUGUGAAGUUGUUCUUUUUCAAGACCAUAGUAAGCA